UGUUCCCAUCUUUCUUUCUCUUCUCUUCUCUUCUCCUCUUCUCCUGCCUCCUCCAGUUCUUUCAGACACCAAAUCUCGCCUUCUUUCUUCAAGAAAAAUGGGGUUAAGUGCUUCGAAGAUCUUAGGUGUCGAAAGUAAUCUCAGACAUGAAGCCACCAUGUGAUUAAUUAGAGAAAAUAUUAAAACAACAAUUAAGAGUAUUCUAUCUGAUGAUGAAAUUAUGGCCAGUUACAGAGAGAGGAGUAGAGAGUUUGUAAAGGAGAACUUACUCGACGAGGAGACAGUGAACAUUUUCAAAGGACUUUGUACCUAUGUUUGUGACGAAGUUAGGAAGAUGCUGAUUGAUUCCUUCAUUCAGGGUUUAAAAGAUUUUAAUGGUCAUGUUUCAUGUUCUCAACUGGUUACUUCCUUCUUGCACUGAAGUCCAUCUUCAGUUAGACUAACUAAAGAGAUAGAUAUAGUUCGCUCCAGCUUUAGUGAUGCAGGGUGCGAUGAGGUGGUUCACACGUGCUACCAAAAACAUAACAAAUAGUUAAGGAGUUGUAUUCCCACUUUUGUACAUUGGGAGUUAAAACAGGGAUAUAUAUAUUACUAGAUUAUUAGAUUAAUUUUUGGAAACACUAACAACACAUUUGUUUUUUCCUCUAUAUAGGUAGAGUGUUCUAUAUAUCUAUAUAAAUAUCACUAUA